rnacentral:lncRNA from 1 species
AAUCUCAGCAAGUCUGGCUCUCAUUGCAUUGUACAAACCGCAGGGCCAAGCCUACCUCAGCUGACUGGUUAAUGGCAGCUAUGCAAAGCCUUCUGCAGGUACCUAAGGAUAAAACUGGCCUGAAGGGAAAAUCUGGGGGAAACUGGGGAGCUUGACUGUUCUUGCACCUGACCCUCUCAGCUGUCAGAUGCGGUGAUCUCCAUGGUAACUCAAACCCCCAGACUCUCGACAGCAGCCUGCGAGGAGCAGCAUUCAGCAGCUCAAGGGUCUCACGACCAGGUAAGCCAAAAUUAACCACCCAGCAAGAGCCUACCUCAAGUAUGUGGUUUUCUGUCCAACUGCCUUUCAGGUUUCUCCCUGGUGAAGCUACGCAUGC